rnacentral:rRNA from 1 species
UACGUAGGGUGCGAGCGUUGUCCGGAAUUAUUGGGCGUAAAGAGCUCGUAGACGGUCUGUCGCGUCUGCUGUGAAAUCCCGAGGCUCAACCUCGGGCUUGCAGUGGGUACGGGCAGGCUAGAGUGCGGUAGGGGAGAAUGGAACUCCUGGUGUAGCGGUGGAAUGCGCAGAUAUCAGGAAGAACACCGAUGGCGAAGGCAGUUCUCUGGGCCGUAACUGACGCUGAGGAGCGAAAGCGUGGGGAGCGAACAGG